rnacentral:lncRNA from 1 species
CAUCGUUGGUGGUGAGAAGCAGAGUAGCUAGAUCACUGUAGUAGCCUUUUGGGCAAUGGAACUGUUUGAAGUUCCCUGAUCUACCAUUCGUUGGGCAUCUCUCUUCUAUGGAGGGGUCACAAGGUGUGCAUUUGGCCAAGAAAGGAAGACCGUAGAGACAAACCGAUGUGAAGAGAGAUACAGUAAGAGCAAGAAGCACCUUAUGGAUCUUACCCUUCCUGCAAAAAGACCAAACAAAGGUAAGUAAUUAAGCACCUAGUAGAGUUUGCACUAUGUUUCAAGCAUUUCAAAACUUAACUGGUUGAUGAGAUUGUAAAGCCGGAGAACUUUAUGGAGAAAGUGAUUGUAGAGACUCCCAAGAACUCCACCGAUGACACCAAUCAACAUGACAGGGAUUAUAUCAGUCGCAUGGUAAGUAUAAGUAACGUGACUCACAUCAAACAUGAUAAGCCCUCCUCUUCCAAACAAUCCACACUUGCCUGAGUUGCAUAUCUCUAUGAACUCCCUUAGAACAACCACAACAACCGCUGUGCUGAAGAAAGUCCGCCACAACAGGGCGCUUCUCCACCAAGUGGCAACUUCCUCGAGCGCGAAAAGCACGCCUCCCACAGGUGACCUGAAGGCUGCACAGACUCCAGCUGCUGAGCCGCACGUUAUAAGAUCCCUUCGGUCUCUAUCGUUGUUGAAGUAACGAAGCCACCGCCACUUUAACCGGUGGUUGUCUGGUCCGCCUUGCCCGAGCAAUGAAGCUAUGCAGGUUCCUAUGUGAACUAGAGGACCUUCUUUGCCUAGAUCAAGUCCAGCUGCAACCGCUCCAAUGCUUCCAAUGAUCUAUCAAACCCCGCAAAUAGUGUGUUAAUAAUCAAACUUUUUUUUUCAGUUCCAGGAGCUCCUUAAUCCCCUCGGGCCGAAACCACAUCAUAUAAUGUUGGUUUCAUUCCAUCGGUCAUUCGAACUGGGGACCUCUGACACAAUUGCCAAGGUCCUUUGGUCUUAAUAAUCAAACUUAACACAUGAGUCUCCUUAAAAAGUUUAGAAACAGACCUUAACGAUCAUAGUGGUAGCACCAAACAUGUUGGGAGUGUCGAUGCCAUUAAGAUAAGCUUUGAUCUCAGGAAUGCCAGGACCAGCAGCCGUAGGAGCAAAUACAACAACAAGUACUGUCCCCACCAGAGUCAGACCCAAAUUCGCACCAGUAAAAACCAACAGACCUGUCACAUAUCUAUUUCAACAGAAACGUAUCAUACAAGUUAACUCCAUUUCUUAGUUAUGAACGUUUUUUUUUUGGUCAAGAUUUUGAUGAUGAGUCAAUACCUGUCUUGACCGAUAUAGUGGCCGACGGCCAGGAGUUUGUAACCCGCGAUGUUUUCGACGGCGAGGUUGAUGAGAGUAGCUAUGAGACCAGUUAAGAGACCAACAAGAAAAGCUAAUGUCCAUUUUGCGAAUAUGUAUUGCAACACUUGUGUCUUUGAUCUGCUUCUCCAGUCAUGCUUGAACAGAUCAUUCUCGUUUAUUCUGCAGUAAUCACAAAUUUUAAUUUAAUUUUUCUUACAAAAUUAUUACAAUAGUUCAUGUCUCCAUCACUGAAUACUUUCCUUCGAGUUAUUUAUGAAAUUAAAGAUUAUCUGAAAACAGAGUAAAGAUCAAAACUUUAUGAGACCAAGACUAAUCAUGCUACUAUGCAAAAGGUGACCCAAGUUCUUGACAUCGAUUCUUUUUUAAGAUUUGGCUAUUGAUUGUUUGCGGAAAAUUGAAGAAGUGAGAGACUUGAAGUAUUACAACAGUUCAUAUGUCUGCAUCACUGCUAUAUUCAUCCAAUUUUUAUUUAUUUUAUAUAAAUGACGAUAAUCUGAAAACAAGAGAGUAAGACUAGUAAGAUCUAUAGAGAGACUGAGAUCAAGAAUCUAAAUCUGUUAGGUAAAGAAGACAUACUCAUAGUCUAAGCUCUCGAUGUGUGAAACAUAUGUUCCUUUUUAAACAGGAGAUAUGGUUCCUCACUCACUGUGAUUUUACAAGUAUUAAAAGAGAUCUGUGCAAUAUUUUUAACUUAUGAGUCUUCUGUUUGGUAUGAAGAAAAAAGUGCAAAACUGGACAGAAACAUCUUCAAGAAUGGGAAGACAACAACAUAGCUGCAGAGCCAUUUUUACAGACAACAGGUAAAACAAAUUGAGUAGCGAUUCAGUGUGCUUUUCUACCUUUGGAUUUUUCCAAGUGAGGAAAAGCUUGUAGAAUGUUGUAUGCCCUUAGAUCCUGCCUGGUUAAGAUCCCAAUGACAGGAGAUCUCUGCAAACGAUUUACAAUUUAGUUAGUUUCAUUAAUUGUUAAUAGGUUUUAUAGUGAAAGUAAAAUAGAAUGAAAGAAGGCAUAUAGACUCACUCCUGAGGCUUGAAUCCUGGGAACAAUAAGCAAAUGUCGGAGUCCCACUUGCCGGAACAGCACCAAAGCCUUGGCCACAGACAUGUUCUCCAUAACAGUGUAAGGUGUUGUGUUAGUGAGAGGAUGAAGAUCAACAUACAUUUGCAUCUCAGAGCUUGUGAUUGCCACAUCGUCAAAGUUGUCUUCUCUCUCAGCCAGUUCAUCCCAUGGAAACUUCUCCCUGACCUCCCACUCCUCUGUUCUUCUCUUCUCUGUCAAGAACCAUCUCUUUUUCAGAACUUUAACCAGGUGGGCUCUCAGGAUCAACCCAUGAAGCUCUAUAGCCCCAGUUCCUAGACCCAUUUGAGGAGGUACUUCUGCUUCAUCUAAAACAGGGAAUGCAUUAUGCGUCGUGUUCCUUAGCACAUCAACUAUCUUAGCAACCUUUUCCACACCUUGCAGUGUUACAACCGGAGGCUUAGCAUCACCAAGCUCACCAACGGAGAGGUUCCUCAUCCACGGCUCCGGAUUCGCUUCCAAGAAAGGUAACCCCUUAAGAUGCAGUAUGAUAUCAUAGAUACUUGGGUUAAAGCUGUCUCCCACAGUUUUAGCAAUCAGAAGCACUAUCAUCGUAAUGGGAAGCAAAAGAAGGUUGUUGGUGAGUUCAAGAAAUAUAACACAGAGUGACACAGUCAUUCUCAUGGAUCCAGCCAUGAGUGAAGCUGCGCCAAGGACAGCGUAAAGCCCUUGGUCAAUGCUAGUGUAUGAUCCCAUCAACCCACCAAGCAUUCUUCCAUACGCAGAACCCAUGAGGAUGAUAGGGAGGAAGAGACCAGACGGAGUUGCGAUACCAAACGUGAAAAGCCCCAAGAUGCAGUAGAGCACAAAGAAUAUCCAAAGGGAGCCCAUGCUGAACUCAUUAGGAGUGUUGGAAGAGAAGAUGUUCCUGACAGCAUCAUCGUUGGUGGUGAGAAGCAGAGUAGCUAGAUCACUGUAGUAGCCUUUUGGGCAAUGGAACUGUUUGAAGUUCCCUGAUCUACCAUUCGUUGGGCAUCUCUCUUCUAUGGAGGGGUCACAAGGUGUGCAUUUGGCCAAGAAAGGAAGACCGUAGAGACAAACCGAUGUGAAGAGAGAUACAGUAAGAGCAAGAAGCACCUUAUGGAUCUUACCCUU